AGUGGUGAAAACGCCAAAGAGAACUGGAACAUGGCAUGUUAUAUUCAGUUAUAAAUGUUUGACCAAGUUAUUAAAUAUCUUAUAAAUCUGUUCAGUUUCAUCAUUUGAUAAUAACUUUAUAACACAUUUGUUUGUGGUAUAGAUGCAGUGACUGAGACUGGGAGAUGCAGUGACUGAAAUCUGGUGUGUUCCAGAAAAAGGUCCUGAAACUACUGGUCGACAUCCGCCAUCGCCUGAAGGAAACCAGAAGGGGUCAUGAAAUUCGGUUCCACAGCCACUGAGGUGUAUGUACAUCAAGGUGAACCUCAAGCACGCGUCGCAAAGACUUGGAUUCACUUCGCCCUGAUGAGCCAAGCCUACAGGACUUGAAUUAAGAGUUUUAAAGGGAUAGUUUACUUGAAAUUAUUUUUUUGAAAUGUUUUGGCUUACAUCAAGGGCAUCAGUCAUAUAA